rnacentral:rRNA from 1 species
UGCAUAUCAAAAAAGCGGAGGAAAAGAAACCAACUGGGAUUACCUUAGUAACGGCGAGUGAAGCGGUAAAAGCUCAAAUUUGAAAUCUGGUACUUUCAGUGCCCGAGUUGUAAUUUGUAGAAUUUGUCUUUGAUUAGGUCCUUGUCUAUGUUCCUUGGAACAGGACGUCAUAGAGGGUGAGAAUCCCGUUUGGCGAGGAUACCUUUUCUCUGUAAGACUUUUUCGAAGAGUCGAGUUGUUUGGGAAUGCAGCUCAAAGUGGGUGGUAAAUUCCAUCUAAAGCUAAAUAUUGGCGAGAGACCGAUAGCGAACAAGUACAGUGAUGGAAAGAUGAAAAGAACUUUGAAAAGAGAGUGAAAAAGUACGUGAAAUUGUUGAAAGGGAAGGGCAUUUGAUCAGACAUGGUGUUUUUUGCAUGCACUCGCCUCUCGUGGGCUUGGGCCUCUCAAAAAUUUCACUGGGCCAACAUCAAUUCUGGCAGCAGGAUAAAUCAUUAAGAAUGUAGCUACUUCGGUAGUGUUAUAGCUUUUUGGAAUACUGUUAGCCGGGAUUGAGGACUGCGCUUCGGCAAGGAUGUUGGCAUAAUGGUUAAAUGCCGCCCGUCUUGACAACCGGACC